rnacentral:siRNA from 1 species
CCAAAGCUCUCUGUCUCUCCGC